rnacentral:lncRNA from 1 species
AAGGCUGCAAGGCCGGAGCGGAGUGUGUGAGUGCGUGUGUGGAGCAGCUUAGGGAGCGAGGUGCUAAGACAACCCCCAGGGCCGCGGUAGGGAGGAAGGGAACUGCCCUGGAGCUAUGAGCCGGGAGACUCGCCGUGGGGCCUUGCCCAGGCUGCGCCGGGGCGAGCAGGCGGCUAAGAUGCCGGGUCGCUGCGUGGGGCCCAGCAGGUCGGGGCGGGGGGUUCGGCGGCUGUGGGGGAAGAGACGGGGCGCAGGGACGUCCCGAGGCCGUGGAGCAAGGCGCCGGGCGAAGUCCUCGGAGUGGGAGACGCGCUGUGAAUGGUUUUAGGGAAGACUGUUGCCGGAUGACAAGGCUGUCACUAUUGUUCUGUACUACCUGACAUUAUGGGACCAGGCCAGCCAGCUUCAACCUGUGUUCAUCUAGCACCUAGGACCCAACUUGAUGGGAGGAGCGACCCCAAAGUACUUCAGACCCAG